rnacentral:misc_RNA from 1 species
GAUGAAGAACGUAGCGAAAUGCGAUAAGUAAUGUGAAUUGCAGAAUUCAGUGAAUCAUCGAAUCUUUGAACGCACAUUGCGCCCGCCAGUAUUCUGGCGGGCAUGCCUGUUCGAGCGUCAUUACAACCCUCAGGCCCCCGGGCCUGGCGUUGGGGAUCGGCGGAGCCCCCCGUGGGCACACGCCGUCCCCCAAAUGCAGUGGCGGUCCCGCCGCAGCUUCCAUCGCGUAGUGGCUAACACCUCGCGACUGGAGAGCGGCGCGGCCACGCCGUAAAACACCCAACUCUUCUGAAGUUGACCUCGAAUCAGGUAGGAAUACCCGCUGAACUUAAGCAUAUCAAUAAGCGGAGGA